rnacentral:rRNA from 1 species
AUUGAACGCUGACGGCAGGCCUAACACAUGCAAGUCGAACGGAGUGGCGGACGGGUGAGUAAUGUCUGGGAAACUGCCCGAUGGAGGGGGAUAACGUCCGGAAACGGGCGCUAAUACCGCAUACUAUCAGAUGAGCCUAGUUCGGAUUAGCUAGUUGGUGGGGUAAAGGCCUACCAAGGCGACGAUCCGUAACUGGUCUAAGAGGAUGAUCAGUCACCCUGGAACGGAGACACGGUCCAGAUUCCUACGGGAGGCAGCAGUGGGGAUGAGUGGACAAUGGGCGAAAGCCUGAGCCAGCCAUGCCGCGUGUGUGAAGAAGGUCUUCGGAUUGUAAAGCACUUUAAGUUGGGAGGCGUUACCAACAGAAUAAGCACCGGCUAACUUCGUGCCAGCAGCCGCGGUAAUUC